rnacentral:rRNA from 1 species
UGACUCUCGGCAACGGAUAUCUUGGUCCUCGCAUCGAUGAAGAACGUAGCGAAAUGCGAUACUUGGUGUGAAUUGCAGAAUCCCGUGAACCAUCGAGUUUUUGAACGCAAGUUGCGCCCUAAGCUUCCGGGCCGAGGGCAAGCCUGCGUGGGCGUCAAGUU